rnacentral:rRNA from 1 species
CAUUUAUUGAGAGUUUGAUCCUGGCUCAGGACGAACGCUGGCGGCGUGCCUAACACAUGCAAGUCGAACGGAGAUACAUUGUAGCAAUAUGGUGUAUCUUAGUGGCGGACGGGUGAGU